UUCUUGUUUACUUUGCAAACAGCUAAAGGCAAAGGGCUGCUCCUAAUCUCAUGGUGCUACGUAUUAAAGAAUAAAUGUGUCAGCAACAAUGUUCAUAGCAGUAGCCAUGUGAGAGAAAAUAACAACUGAAGCAGUCAAACAGAAAAUCUGUAUACAGCAGCUUAUGUUAUAUCUUCUUACCAUAAGUCAUCAGGACAUUUGCAAAAGUAUGAAUCCAUAAUAGCCAACUGGGUUGAGUUCAACAUAAUUAAAGAACAAAAGACAAUAUGGAUAGCAUAACCCAUACGGAUUCUAAAAGACAUCAGUCUUUUCGAUUUGACAAGAAAGCAACAUUUUCAGCACAUCAGACUUUAGCCUCUCUGCGGAGUAAACGCUUUGUCUUUCCUGCAGCCUCUUCCAGUGUUGACGUAUGGACAAGGAAAGCACCAGAUUUUACUCCUAAACUGUACAGAUCUUUAAGUUUUCCAAUGAACCAAAAAAAAAGUAAAGACAUUUCACAGAAUCCUUUCAACCCAAAAGAAAGGCAGAGCACUGUGGAUGAGAUCAACAGAACUCUACUACCAGACAUAGUGGAGAAAAGGGAACUGCCUAAAUUUAUUUCAAGAUAUAAACCACCAGAUCCGCAUGAAGCAAGAGUAAUAUUCGUGAAGACAGGGAAAUAUCCUACUGCAGUUUUCAAAGAUCCCAAGCCACAUGAUUUUAGACAGUAUGAGGAAAACAUCACUGAAUUUGUAACAAGUUAUGAUCGAGAUCCAAGAAAUAUAAAUUUCAAAUCCCGGCAUCUAAAUACAAUUCACCUGUCUCAGCAAGGUCAAGAUAUAGAACAAAAAAACUCAAGAGGAUUAAUCACAUAUAAACCAGCAGAGCCUAAAUGGGAAUCAAAACUGAUUCUUCCUAAGAGACCUUGGCCCCCAAAAUCUGAUUCAUAUACUAGACAUAGAAGAAGACGUGGUAUCCACACAGCACUAAUUGAUCGUGUAGAUGAAAAGCUUACCCGAAUUUGGGAGAUGGUAAGGUCAUUCCAUUUUACAUUUUUAUUUUCUGAUGAAUAAGAAGAAAAUGUAAUGUAUUAAUUAGACAAACAGAACAAAACAAAUCCUUGGCACUGUUCUCUUAUAUUAGAGAAUUUGAAAACAGAAAAUUCCACUAAACACUUGCUUUGAUACAGUGAUGCACAAGCUAGUGCUGUUCAAGUACUAGUCCAAUAACUGUCUGUGUGGAUUCCCAGCUCCAGACUCAAGACUGUGCAAAUCUAACUUGAUAUGAUCAUCGAAGGACAGAAUACAUUUCAAAUGAUUUACGGAACCAGUAACAAAAGAGUUUACAUGAUUGAUGAGUUUGAAAUUAUAAGAAUUAUUACAGUGAAUGUGAGAUAUUAUUUUUAAUUGGGUUCUUCAAAAAGAACAUGGAGACACAGAUGGAUAUUUAUUGAGAAAAGUAUUCACUCAAACAUUAUAAAGGAUUUUUCACACUUGGUGUAAGCUACCAAGAAAUGCAGUAGAUAGUAGAAAUUUAGUGACCUUCAAAACUUGAGUCUACUAUUUUGGAAAAUUUUGGGGAAUGGGAUUGAUAAACUUUGUUGGGCUGAAUGGCCUGCUCUCCUGAAAUUCAUCUAAUGGUCUCAAAGCAAAUGUGCAGUGGCAGCUAUUGUGGAGGUACUAAGAAUGUGAAAAUAUUAUGUAUUAUAAUACAUACAUAAAUAAGUAUGAGAUAGCUUACGACACUGGGUUAACUCUGUAGAAUAUAGAGAAAAGCAGUAAACAUGGUUGCUUGUGUUGCAUGUUAAUAACAGUUAUACUGCAUAAAAUGUCUGUGAUGGACACAAUAACAGCAAAGCAUCCUAAAAUGCAUUUUAAAGGAUUGAACAAUAUUGAAAUAUGUUGGAUAAGGCAUUUAUCUACAUUCAUUUAAGAGUCCAACAGAAAAACACUUCAGGUAUUUCUCUUUAGCAUUGCACCUAUCAAAAAGAAGUAUAAAAGAUGAAUAAAAUACUGUAAAUACAUAGAGCCUUCCAAUUACAGAUCUUGGUACAGUCUGGAACAAAACCACAACAGCAUUGUUAAGGGUGGUGAAAUUAGAAAACAUCAAGAAGGAGGUUUUUGUUUUCUGCCUUUUUGAACCAUAUUUUUUAUUAUUUAUAGUUAAUGAUAUUUUUUCACAUCUUUACAAAUAUCAUCCAGUAUUUUUCUGGUUUCUGUGGAUGCUUCCCCAAGGCAUAGCUGCAGAAGAUCAUGCAUCAGUUUGGUUACAACUAGAUGCCAUGUUACUUAGGUACAAAGAAUGUGAAUUAUUUCAGAUUAGAACUUUAUGUAAGAAUUAAUGGAAAGACUCUCUGGUGAAUGAAUUCAUGGUUUUGUUAGAAGAUGAAUUUCAUGUUUAUGGUUAAAGCAAUCCUUUAUUAUGAUUCUUUUUUUUUUUUUGCCUGUUCAAUUAAACCAUCCUGGUCUGAAGAUUUUAGUUUCUGGUUUGCAUAUUCAACCUCUGCCACAUUAAAAAUAAAACAACAAUUAGCUCUUUUUUAUGACAGUCAUUCUCUUUGAACACAUCUGGAAAAGCAUAAAACGCAGAACUCUUGUUAUUGCCAAAUUUGGGAAAAAGAGGAAAUGUUUAAAAUGCACAGAAGGAUAUCAUCGUGUGAGACUGAAAAGGGAAUACUGAAAAAGGAGCAGUGAACUGAAAGCAGGAGCUAAUGAAGCAAAAGGAACUUGGUGGGACUGGAAUUUACAAUGGUACAGACAAAGAAGACUGGAUAAACUUUACAAAGCAGGGAAACAGACUACAAGAAAAUGACAAGAAAAGCAGCAGAAGAACAAGUGAACAGUUCAUCAACCAAGAGAUAAGAAAGGAGACCUACCAUG